rnacentral:rRNA from 1 species
GAUGAACGCUGGCGGCGUGCCUAACACAUGCAAGUCGAGCGAACAGACGAGGAGCUGGCUCCUCUGACGUUAGCGGCGGACGGGUGAGUAACACGUGGAUAACCUACCUAUAAGACUGGGAUAACUUCGGGAAACCGGAGCUAAUACCGGAUAAUAUAUUGAACCGCAUGGUUCAAUAGUGAAAGACGGUUUUGCUGUCACUUAUAGAUGGAUCCGCGCCGCAUUAGCUAGUUGGUAAGGUAACGGCUUACCAAGGCAACGAUGCGUAGCCGACCUGAGAGGGUGAGCGGCCACACUGGAACUGAGAAACGGUCCAGACUCCUACGGGAGGCAGCAGUAGGGAAUCUUCCGCAAUGGGCGAAAGCCUGACGGAGCAACGCCGCGUGAGUGAUGAAGGUCUUCGGAUCGUAAAACUCUGUUAUUAGGGAAGAACAAAUGUGUAAGUAACUAUGCACGUCUUGACGGUACCUAAUCAGAAAGCCACGGCUAACUACGUG